GGGGAAUAUUGGACAAUGGGGGCAACCCUGAUCCAGCAAUGCCGCGUGAGUGAUGAAGGCCUUCGGGUUGUAAAGCUCUUUCGGUGGGGACGAUGAUGACGGUACCCACAGAAGAAGCCCCGGCUAACUUCGUGCCAGCAGCCGCGGUAAUACGAAGGGGGCUAGCGUUGUUCGGAAUUACUGGGCGUAAAGGGCGCGUAGGCGGCCCUGCAAGUCAGGCGUGAAAGCCCCGAGCUUAACUCGGGAAUAGCGCUUGAGACUGUUGGGCUUGAGUUCGGGAGAGGUGAGUGGAAUUCCCAGUGUAGAGGUGAAAUUCGUAGAUAUUGGGAAGAACACCGGUGGCGAAGGCGGCUCACUGGACCGAAACUGACGCUAAGGCGCGAAAGCGUGGGGAGCAAAC
rnacentral:rRNA from 1 species